ACACCAUAUCAUGGCAGUGCAUCAAACCAGAAUUACACACCCUUAACCUCCUUUUCUAUUUGGGAUCCAGCUUGUUCAACAUUUCUGAGGACAAGAAGAGUGACUGGACUGCAAACUGGAGCUGCCUUCCUGUUGCGCUGCCAUGUGAUUCGCCAUGUCGGACUCGGCUCGCAGAUUCUAUCCUCCUCCACCACCACUGAAUGAGUCUCACUCACCAAUGAGAAAUAUUAUACCAACUGGCUGCUCAAACUUAAAUGUAUUGGUCUUUAUUUCCUCACACUGCAGGUGAAUAAAUAUAAAAACGUGGUGGAAAGUUACUAAAUAGAUCAAGUAUAACUUUCUACUUUCAACUCUUCAGAGACAGACUUUGCACCAGUUCUAAAACAUAAUUUGAGGAUAGUUGAAUAAUUUCGGUUCUAUUUAAAGCUGCUUAUCUUUUCUUAUAUUAAAGCAAUUUCUAAUAAUGUUAAUGUUUUUUUUUAACUGAUUUUAAAUGGUUAAUGACCCAAAAGACCCCUUCAAGAAGAAUAUUAAUUUAUAAUUAAAUCAUUAAUUAGUUGCAACCUUACUGAGAUUAAAGAAAGACAAAGAAUGUAUGCAUUUAUUAUUUAAGGACCCUUCUGGCCACUCUUUAAACUAGCUUUCUGGAUAUAAAAAAGGUCAAACUAGCCCCACCUUGAGCUGACAAUUGUUAAAUUGCUGCUCUAACAUUGAUGUAUCAUUAUCUAAUAUUGCUUGGAACAAAUAAAAGCCUUUUCCUGCA